GCAUCGAUGAAGAACGCAGCGAACUGCGAUAAGUAGUGUGAAUUGCAGAAUUCAGUGAAUCAUCAAAUCCUUGAACGCAGAUGGCGCCCUGUGGCAACGCAGGGCACACCUGUUUGAGCCUCGGUUUCAACCUCUCCCCACCCCCAAAGGGUAAGGGAGGACGUGAGGGUUGCCGUCAGGCAUCCCUUGAAAUGCAGGUUACCGGGCAGCAACAGCACGUGCUUUGGAUGCUGCAAACAACCAGUUCUGCUGAUGACACAGUCUCUCUAACUGGCUUGCAAGCGUGCGAACCCGCUUCUGUUGCCCGCCCGGUCAGACGUGUCCCCGUGACACCCUCUCAAUCUUCGAGCUCAAAUCAGGUGAGGCUACCCGCUGAAUUUAAGCAUAUCAAUAAGCGGAGGA
rnacentral:rRNA from 1 species